rnacentral:rRNA from 1 species
AGUGAACGCUGGCGGUAGGCCUAACACAUGCAAGUCGAACGGCAGCACAGUAAGAGCUUGCUCUUACGGGUGGCGAGUGGCGGACGGGUGAGGAAUACAUCGGAAUCUACUUUUUCGUGGGGGAUAACGUAGGGAAACUUACGCUACUACCGCAUACGACCUACGGGUGAAAGCAGGGGAUCUUCGGACCUUGCGCGAUUGAAUGAGCCGAUGUCGGAUUAGCUAGUUGGCGGGGUAAAGGCCCACCAAGGCGACGAUCCGUAGCUGGUCUGAGAGGAUGAUCAGCCACACUGGAAGGGAGAAACAGUCCAGACUCCUACGGGAGGCAGCAGUGGGGAAUAUUGGACAAUGGGCGCAAGCCUGAUCCAGCAAUACCGCGUGGGUGAAGAAGGCCUUCGGGUUGUAAAGCCCUUUUGUUGGGAAAGAAAAGCAGCAGGUUAAUACCCCGCUGUUCUGACGGUACCCAAAGAAUAAGCACCGGCUAACUUCGUG